rnacentral:rRNA from 1 species
UGAGGAAUAUUGGUCAAUGGACGCAAGUCUGAACCAGCCAUGCCGCGUGCAGGAUGAAGGUGCUAUGCAUUGUAAACUGCUUUUGUACGAGGGUAAAUGUAGCUACGUGUAGUUAUUUGAAAGUAUCGUACGAAUAAGGGUCGGCUAACUCCGUGCCAGCAGCCGCGGUAAUACGGAGGACCCGAGCGUUAUCCGGAUUUAUUGGGUUUAAAGGGUGCGUAGGCGGUUUUAUAAGUUAGAGGUGAAAGCUCGAUGCUCAACGUCGAAAAUGCCUCUGAUACUGUAGGACUAGAGUGUAGUUGCGGAAGGCGGAAUGUGUGGUGUAGCGGUGAAAUGCUUAGAUAUCACACAGAACACCGAUUGCGAAGGCAGCUUUCCAAGCUACCACUGACGCUGAUGCACGAAAGCGUGGGGAGCAAACA